rnacentral:lncRNA from 1 species
AUUUAUUUAUUUAUUUAUUUUUUUUGUCUUUUUGCUAUUUCUUGGGCCGCUCCCGCGGCAUAUGGAGGUUCCCAGGCUAGGGGUUGAAUCGGAGCUGUAGCCACCGGCCUACGCCAGAGCCACAGCAACGCGGGAUCCGAGCCGCGUCUGCAACCUACACCACAGCUCACGGCAACGCCGGAUCGUUAACCCACUGAGCAAGGGCAGGGACCGAACCCGCAACCUCAUGGUUCCUAGUCGGAUUCGUUAACCACUGCGCCACGACGGGAACUCCAAACCUGACUUUUAAAUUCGAACACACCCCUGAGCCCUGGACGUUCCCCUCUUGCCAUUAUGACAUGUGGGGUGAAGGUGGGAGGAGGCCUCCGUCUGGCAGAGGCCCCUUUAAAAAUGUACCCGGGUUCCUCCUCUGCCAACCAAGUUCUAAAAAUAUUACUCCAGCAAAAGCUGAAAUAUUUGCAGAGAAAACUGAAUUUCCUGCUACCCUCACCCCUCCACUCAAAUGGGUAAAAUCCUGACCUGAGAAGCCCCCAGAUCAGCUCCACCAAAGGCACAGCCUCCUACUUUCCACCCCCGCCUCACCAUGGAGUCCCUCUGUGGGCUUGAGCUGGGAUGUUAUGUUCAGACAGUACCCACUCCAGGGAGGGGAAGCCACAAGUAUUGGCAAAUAGCUUGCCAUGUGCCUUGGCUUUCCUCUCUGCUUACGAGGACCAACUCUCUCCAAAUCCCCUUCCAUCUGUCCCAAGAAGGAUCUGUAUUGGACCCCAGAAGCUUGCCACUAAUCCAUCUUUUAUCCUCUCUUUUGUCGAAUCAUCUCCUCCUUGGCUGGCCCUGCCUUCUAUCCUGUGCCCUCCAUCUCCGUGCUCCCUGCUGGGUCCACCACACCCACAGGCCCCAGCUCCCUCUCUAACCUGGCCCUCCCUGCCUUCCUCUCCCUUCCAGGCCUGCUGCCAUCCUUCUCCCUCAACUGUGGGGGCCAGCGAAGACAGAGGAGAUGUUUUGAAAUCUGAAGAGUCAAGGAGGAUAACUGCAGCACCGAAGGCCAGCAGGUUAACAGAGUGAGGUAGCCUGCUGCCCAAAGCAGCCUGGCCCAGCAUUCCACGGUGCUUCUGUCCCCUUUCCUUGUUCAUCUAUUCAAGAAUCAGAGGUUCAG